UACGUAGGGGGCUAGCGUUGUCCGGAUUUAUUGGGCGUAAAGAGCGUGUAGGCGGCCAGGUAGGUCUGCUGUGAAAACUCGAGGCUCAACCUCGAGACGUCGGCGGAAACCAUCUGGCUAGAGUCCGGAAGAGGAGAGUGGAAUUCUUGGUGUAGCGGUGAAAUGCGUAGAUAUCAAGAGGAACACCUGCGGCGAAGGCGGGUUGCUGGGCCGACACUGACGCUGAGGCGCGAAAGCCAGGGGAGCGAACGGG
rnacentral:rRNA from 1 species